rnacentral:rRNA from 2 species
GGUUAAGCGACUAAGCGUACACGGUGGAUGCCCUGGCAGUCAGAGGCGAUGAAGGGCGUGCUAAUCUGCGAUAAGCGCCGGUAAGGUGAUAUGAACCGUUAUAACCGGCGAUACCCGAAUGGGGAAACCCAGUGUGAUUCGUCACACUAUCAUUAACUGAAUCCAUAGGUUAAUGAGGCGAACCGGGGGAACUGAAACAUCUAAGUACCCCGAGGAAAAGAAAUCAACCGAGAUUCCCCCAGUAGCGGCGAGCGAACGGGGAGGAGCCCAGAGCCUGAAUCAGCAUGUGUGUUAGUGGAAGCGUCUGGAAAGGCGCGCGAUACAGGGUGACAGCCCCGUACACAAAAGCGCAUGUGCUGUGAGCUCGAUGAGUAGGGCGGGACACGUGGUAUCCUGUCUGAAUAUGGGGGGACCAUCCUCCAAGGCUAAAUACUCCUGACUGACCGAUAGUGAACCAGUACCGUGAGGGAAAGGCGAAAAGAACCCCGGCGAGGGGAGUGAAAAAGAACCUGAAACCGUGUACGUACAAGCAGUGGGAGCCCCACCACCAAAGCAUUCUCUGGUGUUGAAGGCCCUGCAAAGCAGCAUCGCGGUGGCGGAGCGUCGUUUGCGACGCCCAACACACAAAACAAGCGGUGAAUGCUUUGGGGUGGGGUGACUGCGUACCUUUUGUAUAAUGGGUCAGCGACUUAUAUUCUGUAGCAAGGUUAACCGAAUAGGGGAGCCGGAGGGAAACCGAGUCUUAAUUGGGCGUUAAGUUGCAGGGUAUAGACCCGAAACCCGGUGAUCUAGCCAUGGGCAGGUUGAAGGUUGGGUAACACUAACUGGAGGACCGAACCGACUAAUGUUGAAAAAUUAGCGGAUGACCUGUGGCUGGGGGUGAAAGGCCAAUCAAACCGGGAGAUAGCUGGUUCUCCCCGAAAGCUAUUUAGGUAGCGCCUCGUGAAUUCAUCUCCGGGGGUAGAGCACUGUUUCGGCUAGGGGGCCAUCCCGGCUUACCAACCCGAUGCAAACUGCGAAUACCGGAGAAUGUUAUCACGGGAGACACACGGCGGGUGCUAACGUCCGUCGUGAAGAGGGAAACAACCCAGACCGCCAGCUAAGGUCCCAAAGUCAUGGUUAAGUGGGAAACGAUGUGGGAAGGCCCAGACAGCCAGGAUGUUGGCUUAGAAGCAGCCAUCAUUUAAAGAAAGCGUAAUAGCUCACUGGUCGAGUCGGCCUGCGCGGAAGAUGUAACGGGGCUAAACCAUGCACCGAAGCUGCGGCAGCGAACGUAUCACUUAAAGCGAUUCAGCGGGUUACGAUUGACGGAGCGAAGCGACGUCAAAGCGUAUACAAAGUCGAGUCGGUUUAAGGAUACGUUCGUUGGGUAGGGGAGCGUUCUGUAAGCCCGUGAAGGUGGCCUGUGAGGGUUGCUGGAGGUAUCAGAAGUGCGAAUGCUGACAUAAGUAACGAUAAAGCGGGUGAAAAGCCCGCUCGCCGGAAGACCAAGGGUUCCUGUCCAACGUUAAUCGGGGCAGGGUGAGUCGACCCCUAAGGCGAGGCCGAAAGGCGUAGUCGAUGGGAAACGGGUUAAUAUUCCCGUACUUGGUGUUACUGCGAAGGGGGGACGGAGAAGGCUAUGUUGGCCGGGCGACGGUUGUCCCGGUUUAAGCGUGUAGGUGUGUGUUCCAGGUAAAUCCGGUUCACUUUAACACUGAGGCGUGAUGACGAGGCACUACGGUGCUGAAGCAACAAAUGCCCUGCUUCCAGGAAAAGCCUCUAAGCAUCAGGUAACAUCAAAUCGUACCCCAAACCGACACAGGUGGUCAGGUAGAGAAUACCAAGGCGCUUGAGAGAACUCGGGUGAAGGAACUAGGCAAAAUGGUGCCGUAACUUCGGGAGAAGGCACGCUGACACGUAGGUGAAGUGAUUUACUCAUGGAGCUGAAGUCAGUCGAAGAUACCAGCUGGCUGCAACUGUUUAUUAAAAACACAGCACUGUGCAAACACGAAAGUGGACGUAUACGGUGUGACGCCUGCCCGGUGCCGGAAGGUUAAUUGAUGGGGUCAGCGCAAGCGAAGCUCCUGAUCGAAGCCCCGGUAAACGGCGGCCGUAACUAUAACGGUCCUAAGGUAGCGAAAUUCCUUGUCGGGUAAGUUCCGACCUGCACGAAUGGCGUAAUGAUGGCCAGGCUGUCUCCACCCGAGACUCAGUGAAAUUGAACUCGCUGUGAAGAUGCAGUGUACCCGCGGCAAGACGGAAAGACCCCGUGAACCUUUACUAUAGCUUGACACUGAACAUUGAGCCUUGAUGUGUAGGAUAGGUGGGAGGCUUUGAAGUGUGGACGCCAGUCUGCAUGGAGCCGACCUUGAAAUACCACCCUUUAAUGUUUGAUGUUCUAACGUGGACCCGUAAUCCGGGUUGCGGACAGUGUCUGGUGGGUAGUUUGACUGGGGCGGUCUCCUCCUAAAGAGUAACGGAGGAGCACGAAGGUUGGCUAAUCCUGGUCGGACAUCAGGAGGUUAGUGCAAUGGCAUAAGCCAGCUUGACUGCGAGCGUGACGGCGCGAGCAGGUGCGAAAGCAGGUCAUAGUGAUCCGGUGGUUCUGAAUGGAAGGGCCAUCGCUCAACGGAUAAAAGGUACUCCGGGGAUAACAGGCUGAUACCGCCCAAGAGUUCAUAUCGACGGCGGUGUUUGGCACCUCGAUGUCGGCUCAUCACAUCCUGGGGCUGAAGUAGGUCCCAAGGGUAUGGCUGUUCGCCAUUUAAAGUGGUACGCGAGCUGGGUUUAGAACGUCGUGAGACAGUUCGGUCCCUAUCUGCCGUGGGCGCUGGAGAACUGAGGGGGGCUGCUCCUAGUACGAGAGGACCGGAGUGGACGCAUCACUGGUGUUCGGGUUGUCAUGCCAAUGGCACUGCCCGGUAGCUAAAUGCGGAAGAGAUAAGUGCUGAAAGCAUCUAAGCACGAAACUUGCCCCGAGAUGAGUUCUCCCUGAGACUUAGAGUCUCCUGAAGGAACGUUGAAGACGACGACGUUGAUAGGCCGGGUGUGUAAGCGCAGCGAUGCGUUGAGCUAACCGGUACUAAUGAACCGUGAGGCUUAACCUU